CGGAGGAUCCAAGCGUUGUCCGGAUUUAUUGGGUUUAAAGGGUGCGUAGGCGGUUUGAUAAGUCAGUGGUGAAAGUUUGCGGCUUAACCGUAAAAUUGCCAUUGAAACUGUCGAACUUGAGUAUGGUUGAGGUAGCUGGAAUGUGUCAUGUAGCGGUGAAAUGCUUAGAUAUGAUACAGAACACCGAUUGCGAAGGCAGGUUACUAAACCAUAACUGACGCUGAGGCACGAAAGCAUGGGGAUCAAACAGGAUUAGAUACCCUGGUAGUCCAUGCUGUAAACGUUGAUUACUCGUUGUUGGCGAUAUACAGUCAGCAACUAAGCGAAAGCGUUAAGUAAUCCACCUGGGAAGUACGACCGCAAGGUUG
rnacentral:rRNA from 1 species